rnacentral:rRNA from 1 species
UGCCAGCCGCCGCGGUAAUACGGAGGGUGCAAGCGUUAAUCGGAAUUACUGGGCGUAAAGCGCGCGUAGGUGGCCAAGUCAGUCAGAUGUGAAAGCCCUGGGCUCAACCUGGGAACUGCAUCUGAUACUGCUUGGCUAGAGUAUGGUAGAGGGGUGUGGAAUUUCCUGUGUAGCGGUGAAAUUCGUAGAUAUUCGGAGGAACACCAGUGGCGAAGGCGGCUCACUGGCUCGAUACUGACGCUGAGGUGCGAAAGCGUGGGGAGCAAACAGGAUUAGAUA